UACAGAGGUCUCAAGCGUUGUUCGGAUUCAUUGGGCGUAAAGGGUGUGUAGGUGGCGCCGUAAGUGGGGUGUGAAAUUUCGAGGCUUAACCUCGAAACUGCAUUCCAUACUGCGGUGCUUGAGGACUGGAGAGGAGACUGGAAUUUACGGUGUAGCAGUGAAAUGCGUAGAUAUCGUAAGGAAGACCAGUGGCGAAGGCGGGUCUCUGGACAGUUCCUGACACUGAGACACGAAGGCCAGGGGAGCGAACGGG
rnacentral:rRNA from 1 species